UAUAUGUGUGUAUGCAUAUGUGUGUGUAUAUAUACGUACACACACACACACACACACACACACACACACACACACACACACACACA
rnacentral:miRNA from 1 species